GACCUGCACGAAUGGCGUAAUGAUGGCCAGGCUGUCUCCACCCGAGACUCAGUGAAAUUGAACUCGCUGUGAAGAUGCAGUGUACCCGCGGCAAGACGGAAAGACCCCGUGAACCUUUACUAUAGCUUGACACUGAACAUUGAGCCUUGAUGUGUAGGAUAGGUGGGAGGCUUUGAAGUGUGGACGCCAGUCUGCAUGGAGCCGACCUUGAAAUACCACCCUUUAAUGUUUGAUGUUCUAACGUGGACCCGUAAUCCGGGUUGCGGACAGUGUCUGGUGGGUAGUUUGACUGGGGCGGUCUCCUCCUAAAGAGUAACGGAGGAGCACGAAGGUUGGCUAAUCCUGGUCGGACAUCAGGAGGUUAGUGCAAUGGCAUAAGCCAGCUUGACUGCGAGCGUGACGGCGCGAGCAGGUGCGAAAGCAGGUCAUAGUGAUCCGGUGGUUCUGAAUGGAAGGGCCAUCGCUCAACGGAUAAAAGGUACUCCGGGGAUAACAGGCUGAUACCGCCCAAGAGUUCAUAUCGACGGCGGUGUUUGGCACCUCGAUGUCGGCUCAUCACAUCCUGGGGCUGAAGUAGGUCCCAAGGGUAUGGCUGUUCGCCAUUUAAAGUGGUACGCGAGCUGGGUUUAGAACGUCGUGAGACAGUUCGGUCCCUAUCUGCCGUGGGCGCUGGAGAACUGAGGGGGGCUGCUCCUAGUACGAGAGGACCGGAGUGGACGCAUCACUGGUGUUCGGGUUGUCAUGCCAAUGGCACUGCCCGGUAGCUAAAUGCGGAAGAGAUAAGUGCUGAAAGCAUCUAAGCACGAAACUUGCCCCGA
rnacentral:rRNA from 1 species